AUGGUCAUGUCAUGUUGAAAAACCAGUUCCUGUAUGAUCCUCAAAGUUAAGCAACAUUGAGACUGGUCAGUACCUAAAUGGAUGACCUCUUGGGAAUACCAUGUGCUGUAAG